UGCUGGCUCUGUUGCUUUGCCUAGCAGUUGAGGAUUUGCAUGAACCCAGAGCACAGCCCACUUGGCCUGAGAACUUCUUUAAGGCUGCUCAAAUUCUGUGUAUCAGUCAGUCCCGGUCAGCACAUACCAUGGACAGGAGGGCCCCUGCCCAGCUCCUGGGGCUCCUGCUGCUCUGGCUCCCAGGUACCAGUUGUGACAUUCUGGUGACCCAGUCUCCAUCCUCUCUGUCUGCAUCAGUAGGAGACAGAGUCCCCAUCACCUGCAAGGCCAGUCAGGGUAUUAGCGAUGAUUUACAAUGGUAUCAGCAGAAACCAGGGAAAACUCCUAAACUCUUGAUUUACUGGGCAAACAAUUUGGUAUCCGGGGUGCCAUCCAGGUUCAGUGGAAGCCAAUCUGGGACGGAGUUCACUCUCACAAUCAGCAGCCUUCAGCCUGAAGACUUUGCAACUUACUACUGUCAACAGGGUAAUAGUUACCCUCCCACAGUGGUACAAGCCAUAACAUAAACCUCCAAGGGAAGCAGAAGUGACAGGCUGGGC